rnacentral:rRNA from 1 species
GAUGAACGCUGGCGGCGUGCCUAAUACAUGCAAGUCGAGCGAACAGAUAAGGAGCUUGCUCCUUUGACGUUAGCGGCGGACGGGUGAGUAACACGUGGAUAACCUACCUUUAAGACUGGGAUAACUUCGGGAAACCGGAGCUAAUACCGGAUAACAUAUUGAACCGCAUGGUUCAAUAGUGAAAGGCGGCUUUGCUGUCACUUAUAGAUGGAUCCGCGCCGUAUUAGCUAGUUGGUAAGGUAACGGCUUACCAAGGCAACGAUACGUAGCCGACCUGAGAGGGUGAUCGGCCACACUGGAACUGAGACACGGUCCAGACUCCUACGGGAGGCAGCAGUAGGGAAUCUUCCGCAAUGGGCGAAAGCCUGACGGAGCAACGCCGCGUGAGUGAUGAAGGUCUUCGGAUCGUAAAACUCUGUUAUCAGGGAAGAACAAAUGUGUAAGUAACUGUGCACAUCUUGACGGUACCUGAUCAGAAAGCCACGGCUAACUACGUG